ACCCUCGCAUACACCACCGGCAACCCCUCCUCCUUCUUUUCCCGCCCCCCCCAUCUGCAGGGUCUAUUGUAACGCCUCCUAACUUCCCACAAGAGGACAGAGAAGCACACGCGGUCUGCAAGGGAGAGCACAGAAGAUGCAAUCCUCGGCGUCUCUGCCCGAACAGCAGCCUGUUAACGGCUCGAGUGACCCCCAGAACCACCACUAUGUCAACCCCCUCGUCUCUAGCUUUCCGACCGUGGUGGGGCCUAAGCUGCCAUGCAAGUACCGUGUCCGCCGCGCCAUCGGCCGUGGCGCCUUCUCCACUGUGUGGCUACUGAUCAACAACAGAACAGGCGAGACGGUUGUUGGCAAGCUGUCCGACGCCUCGCAUUCCUCUAGCGCCUGCAAGGCUUUCGCCGAGGCGGAGGUGGAGAACAUGCGGUGCUGUAGCCACCCCAACAUCAUCUCCCUCAUCGAAACCUUCGAGGCGGGCGAAAAGUCUCUGUACAUUCUGGAGUACGCCAACGCUGGCGAUCUGCAGGCUCAGGUCGACACCCGCGCGCAACCGCCACCUGGUGCGAACGACGGCACUCCGAUUCCGUACCGUGAGGACGAGGCGCUCGUUAUAUUUGCCCAGCUCAGCCUCGCCAUCCGCUACCUGCACGACCGCCGCAUCAUGCACCGCGACCUCAAAACAUCAAACGUGCUGCUGACGCGUAGCGGACUCAUCAAGCUCGGCGACUUUGGCUUUUCGCGUCAGUACCAAGAGAGCGUCUCUGGCGAAGUCGGCAAGACGUUCUGCGGCACGCCCUACUACUUGGCCCCGGAGAUGUGGCAGCGACAGUCCUACAGCUACAAGGCGGACAUCUGGUCCCUUGGAGUUAUCAUGUACGAGCUACUCGCCCUCAAGAAGCCAUUUCAGGCAACGAACCUGUCCGAGCUCAUGGAGACGGUGACGCGGCAGGGCAGCUUUGACCCGCUGCCGGCGGAUCGGUACUCGUCGGAUAUGAUCUCGCUGGUCAACCAGAUGCUCCGGGUGGACCCGAGUGAGCGCCCGAGCAUCAACGACAUACUCGCUUUGCCCCUCUUUCAGCAAAGAGGGCUGACGAUACUCAAAAUAAAUGUGCGACGCAUCAAGAACCUUGACGCGGAGGUGCGGACGCGGCUUGUAGAAGACGUGGAGGCGGUCCUCGGUGACAACAAUCUUUCCUCCGAAGCAUCGCCGUUGUGACAAGGAUAACGAGAGAGAGGUUGUAUGUGUGUCUGUAUGCAUGUCUGCCCAUGAAGAUGAGCUUGAGGUCGGUUUCUAUUUUUUAUUCUUGAGGAAAUCCUCGUGAGGCCGCUUUCCUAUCAGCGCACCUGCCGGCGCGUGGACGGGCUUGCCGAAGCGGCAGCGUUAGGGUAGCCGACGCCAACUGCCCGGAUGACGGGGUCGGCCACCGGCCCCAGGCGUUAGGUCGGCAUCCCCCGGAGCCGCGCUACGCGAUACGGCACGCUGAGACAAGAGGCACUUGGCAGCCGCCGCCCCACACGCGGAGAACAAGGCUGCUGAACUCAUGAGGCACACCUGGUUUCGCGCUAUGAUCUUGCACGCAGUGACCUGGCCACGCACAUCCCGCUCGCGCUGCAUGGGCUUCCCCCGCCGGGUGCCUACCGCUGCCCCCUGUGCUCCGUCGGAGCGACGUGCUGUGAGCUCUUUGUGCGCCGGCACAUGCUCACCGGCGGCCCUCUCCCCCGGCCACGACGCCGCGCUGAGGCGGGCCCCACAGCGCAGAACUGCGAGCGCGGUGCGCGGGCGCUGUGACGCACAGUCGGCACGCAGCGUACCGCACGCAGACAGUGCAUGGGGAGGCCGGAGGAGCAAGAGCGGUGGACGGGAACGGCGCGAAGCAUGCGGCACGCCCUCGAUGUGCCUGUGUGGGCUGAUGAGGCGCGGAUGCCGGAAGCGUGGCGAGGGCAUCCCGAGUUGCACCGUCGAGUCCUCCAGGCCCGAAUGUGGCGAGCCUGCGGGGAGCAGAUUAUGGAAUGCGGCUGCUCGAAGCGACCGAGGGCGCUGGCCGGAAGGUGGCCGACUUCCUCCUCGGGCCUGUGCGGCAUGCGCCCUCGAUCGGGAGCCCGAAUGGUGGCCGCGUGGGUGAAGGCGUGCCGCCCACCCGCGUCUCCGUGUGGCGCCGAUGGCGCAGCGCGCACCCGGGGAAGGGGCGAGGAAGGCCAUGAGGAUGCCGCUGCGCGCGUGGCCCGAUUCGACGGCAGGCGGCUCGUCCGAGACGGCCGGGACGAAGCCGUGGCGCCGCUGGGGGCAGGUGCGCUGUGGCUGUGUAUGUGCGCUGAUGUGCUGACUUGUUCGUGGCAGGGGUGUGGACAGGCUGAAGGGAUAAAAGUCCCUCGGUGAGCAUCACAAGCACUCACAGUCGUUGUGGUUCCUGCUGGCCUCCUCCACUGCCUUCUGCCCCGUCUGCGCGUCCUCUUUUCGGCCUCUGCCGCGAAGCGAUUCUCCCGUGGUUGCUGCAGUGGUUGUCGUGCCUGCCCAUCAUUUCGAGCUAGAUGGGAAAAGGGGCAACAAUACGUGCGCGUGUGCGUAAGUUGUCGUCGUUCAUUUUUUGUUGUUUCGUGACUGCUUGCCUUCCUCUUUAUGGUCUCUCUCUUCAUAUAUAUAUAUAUACAUGUAUGUAUAUGUGCAUAUAUAUGUGUGUGUACGUCUAUCGCUCGUCUUCGGGCUCGCAUCUCAUAAAGGAUGGGGUGAUAUUGACUUCUGGGUAACAUAGCGAACUCUUUUUUUUUCGAUUCGUUGCGGAUGUUGAUGCUGUUUCGCGGUCCUUUAUCGCGCGCGUGGAGUCUCUCUCUCUCGGGUGUAUCUCCUCUUUCCUUGCUCUCUUUGUUUGCUUAUCAGGUGUGGACGCGUGUGUGCAUGUGUGUGUGUGUGUGUCACGGAGUGUCCAUUUUCCCGGCUGGCUGGCUGGCUGCUAUGGUGGUGCAGGAAGAAGGUAGGUAGGGAGGGAGGGAGGGAGGGGAGCUUUUUAUUGCACGUAUGUGAAUACUGGAUGUCAUGCUCGUGUGGCAGUGCUGCCGUCGCCACUACCAGCGUUUCUUCUAUUUCUCGAAACCCUCUUCUCUUUGUAUUGUUUUCUUUCUGUAGUCCUGCGUGUGUAGGCCUGUGGGCGUGUAUUCGACUAGCCGCACGUUCUUUUACCACUUUGCUGUGUUGCGUCCCUUUCUCUCUCCCUCGCUUGCUCCAUGGCACGCUGGACUUCCCUUUUUUUUUUUUGAGGGGGCUGUUGCUUUUCGCCUCUUGCUGUCGUCGUUUUCAGAGAAGCGAUCCCGUUUGCUGGGGACCUUUUCCCCCUUCAUGGGUGUCGACACACCUUGCCAUGAUUUUUUUUCGUUCUCUAUAUUAUUUAUUUAUGCAAAGAAAUAUAUAUAUAUAUAUAUAUAUGCGCGUUGAUGUCGCUAGCCGUCCCUUUUCUCGCUGCCUGUCUCAGACUCCCCUGCUCUCUCUCCUCUCCCUGCCUCCCUACCCUCUCCGGUCGACGCGUCACGUCGUCGUGCAUCUCUGUAUGCGUCCACUCGCGCGUAG
rnacentral:misc_RNA from 1 species